CAAACACACGCCGCGUGUGUGUGUGUGUGUGUGUGUAUGUAUCUAUAUAUGUAUAUAUAUAUAUAUAUAUAUAUAUAUAUAUACACACACACAUACACUGCUGUGUGUGCUGU